rnacentral:rRNA from 1 species
CUACGUAGGGGGCGAGCGUUAUCCGGAUUUAUUGGGCGUAAAGCGUGUGUAGGCGGUUUGUUAAGUUUAGGAUUAAAGCCCGAGGCUUAACCUCGGUUCGUCUUAAAAACUGGCAGACUUGAGUGCAGUAGAGGCAAGUGGAAUUUCUAGUGUAGCGGUUAAAUGCGUAGAUAUUAGAAGGAACACCAGUGGCGAAGGCGGCUUACUGGGCUUUUACUGACGCUGAGGCUCGAAAGCGUGGGGAGCAAACAGGAUUAGAUACCCUGGUAGUCCACGCUGUAAACGAUGAUUACUAGGUGUGGGGGGACUGACCCCUUCCGUGCCGCAGUUAACACAAUAAGUAAUCCACCUGGGGAGUACGGCCGCAAGGUUGAAACUCAAAUGAAUUGACGGGG